UACGGGGGGGGCAAGCGUUGUUCGGAAUUACUGGGCGUAAAGGGCUCGUAGGCGGCCAACUAAGUCGGGUGUGAAAUCCCCAGGCUCAACUUGGGAACUGCAUCCGAUACUGGAUGGCUUGAAUUCGGGAGAGGGAUGCAGAAUUCCAGGUGUAGCGGUGAAAUGCGUAGAUAUCUGGAGGAAUACCGGUGGCGAAGGCGGCAUCCUGGACCGACAUUGACGCUGAGGAGCGAAAGCUAGGGGAGCAAACGGG
rnacentral:rRNA from 1 species